UAGUGUUGGACAGAUCCAUCUGCGCAUGCUCAGUCAAGCGGCGCAUUGUUUACAUCACUUUGCUAGUUUAACACGCUGAUGAAACUAAAUUAGGUGUGCUCGUUGGCAUGAGAGGACAGCCUUCCCAAGUUAAAAGAUGCAUUGUGUUGGAUGAGCGGCAUCCCAACUGGUAUGUCAGCCUGCAGCGCAUGAUCCAUUGUUCAUCGAUGAUGUAGAUGUUUUCAGCAACGGUGACUUUAAGCUCAGCUGUCCCUCGUGAUAUCCAUCUCCCAGGUCUGGUCUGGCUUGUCAAUCUGGACUGGAGGGAGACACUGCCUCCGCUGAUCACAUCUGCCCAGAGAGCUGCUUUCAACAGAGUGAAUGGUCAUGAAACGUUUUAAUGAGAAAAGCCCAGAGUUUAACACACCGCGGCAUCUGAAAUGGCGCCAUUAUCACACGGCAACUAUUCCUGAUAAUUAGUGCUCACUUACUGUGGGAAGAAACUGUUGGCGCGCUUACACGACCUUGUCAAGUACUGUUAAUAUUACAGGCUAUACCGUUAAGCAAACUUUCAAAUUGAGCUGUUGUGAAAAACAUUCUUCCAUGACAUUGCAGUGAACUUCAUUGAGUUACUACUGUACGCCGUACCUGUUCUGUGUGUGCAUCUGACCCAGGAGUAAAUCCCUCUCACCAUCUGUUAUGAGAGUGAGAGACAAACAGACAUAGCAGAUGUAACAGACUAUAAAAUGUGUUUUGAGU